CAAGCGGUGGAUGAUGUGGAUUAAUUCGAUGCAACGCGAAGAACCUUACCUACCCUUGACAUGUCCGGAACUUGCCAGAGAUGGCUUGGUGCCCGAAAGGGAAUCGGAACACAGGUGCUGCAUGGCUGUCGUCAGCUCGUGUCGUGAGAUGUUGGGUUAAGUCCCGCAACGAGCGCAACCCUUAUCAUUAGUUGCUACGCAAGGGCACUCUAAUGAGACUGCCGGUGACAAACCGGAGGAAGGUGGGGAUGACGUCAAGUCCUCAUGGCCCUUAUGGGUAGGGCUUCACACGUCAUACAAUGGUCGGUACAGAGGGUUGCCAAGCCGCGAGGCGGAGCCAAUCCCACAAAGCCGAUCGUAGUCCGGAUUGUUCUCUGCGACUCGAGAGCAUGAAGUCGGAAUCGCUAGUAAUCGCAGGUCAGCAUACUGCGGUGAAUACGUUCCCGGGUCUU
rnacentral:rRNA from 1 species